rnacentral:rRNA from 1 species
UACGUAGGUGGCAAGCGUUGUCCGGAUUUAUUGGGUUUAAAGGGUGCGUAGGCGGCCUAUUAAGUCAGUGGUGAAAUAUCUCAGCUUAACUGAGAAGGUGCCAAUGAUACUGAUGGGCUUGAGUACAGAUGAGGUAGGCGGAAUUGACGGUGUAGCGGUGAAAUGCUUAGAUAUCGUCAAGAACACCUAUAGCGAAGGCAGCUUACUAGGCUGUAACUGACGCUGAGGCACGAAAGUGUGGGGAUCAAAC